UAAGCGACUAAGCGUACACGGUGGAUGCCCUGGCAGUCAGAGGCGAUGAAGGACGCGCUAAUCUGCGAUAAGCGUCGGUAAGGUGAUAUGAACCGUUAUAACCGGCGAUUUCCGAAUGGGGAAACCCAGUGUGUUUCGACACACUAUCAUUAACUGAAUCCAUAGGUUAAUGAGGCGAACCGGGGGAACUGAAACAUCUAAGUACCCCGAGGAAAAGAAAUCAACCGAGAUUCCCCCAGUAGCGGCGAGCGAACGGGGAGCAGCCCAGAGCCUGAAUCAGUGUGUGUGUUAGUGGAAGCGUCUGGAAAGGCGCGCGAUACAGGGUGACAGCCCCGUACACAAAAAUGCACAUGCUGUGAGCUCGAUGAGUAGGGCGGGACACGUGGUAUCCUGUCUGAAUAUGGGGGGGACCAUCCUCCAAGGCUAAAUACUCCUGACUGACCGAUAGUGAACCAGUACCGUGAGGGAAAGGCGAAAAGAACCCCGGCGAGGGGAGUGAAAAAGAACCUGAAACCGUGUACGUACAAGCAGUGGGAGCACGCUUAGGCGUGUGACUGCGUACCUUUUGUAUAAUGGGUCAGCGACUUAUAUUCUGUAGCAAGGUUAACCGAAUAGGGGAGCCGAAGGGAAACCGAGUCUUAACUGGGCGUUAAGUUGCAGGGUAUAGACCCGAAACCCGGUGAUCUAGCCAUGGGCAGGUUGAAGGUUGGGUAACACUAACUGGAGGACCGAACCGACUAAUGUUGAAAAAUUAGCGGAUGACUUGUGGCUGGGGGUGAAAGGCCAAUCAAACCGGGAGAUAGCUGGUUCUCCCCGAAAGCUAUUUAGGUAGCGCCUCGUGAAUUCAUCUCCGGGGGUAGAGCACUGUUUCGGCAAGGGGGUCAUCCCGACUUACCAACCCGAUGCAAACUGCGAAUACCGGAGAAUGUUAUCACGGGAGACACACGGCGGGUGCUAACGUCCGUCGUGAAGAGGGAAACAACCCAGACCGCCAGCUAAGGUCCCAAAGUCAUGGUUAAGUGGGAAACGAUGUGGGAAGGCCCAGACAGCCAGGAUGUUGGCUUAGAAGCAGCCAUCAUUUAAAGAAAGCGUAAUAGCUCACUGGUCGAGUCGGCCUGCGCGGAAGAUGUAACGGGGCUAAACCAUGCACCGAAGCUGCGGCAGCGACGCUGAUGCGUUGUUGGGUAGGGGAGCGUUCUGUAAGCCUGCGAAGGUGUGCUGUGAGGCAUGCUGGAGGUAUCAGAAGUGCGAAUGCUGACAUAAGUAACGAUAAAGCGGGUGAAAAGCCCGCUCGCCGGAAGACCAAGGGUUCCUGUCCAACGUUAAUCGGGGCAGGGUGAGUCGACCCCUAAGGCGAGGCCGAAAGGCGUAGUCGAUGGGAAACAGGUUAAUAUUCCUGUACUUGGUGUUACUGCGAAGGGGGGACGGAGAAGGCUAUGUUGGCCGGGCGACGGUUGUCCCGGUUUAAGCGUGUAGGCUGGUUUUCCAGGCAAAUCCGGAAAAUCAAGGCUGAGGCGUGAUGACGAGGCACUACGGUGCUGAAGCAACAAAUGCCCUGCUUCCAGGAAAAGCCUCUAAGCAUCAGGUAACAUCAAAUCGUACCCCAAACCGACACAGGUGGUCAGGUAGAGAAUACCAAGGCGCUUGAGAGAACUCGGGUGAAGGAACUAGGCAAAAUGGUGCCGUAACUUCGGGAGAAGGCACGCUGAUAUGUAGGUGAAGUCCCUCGCGGAUGGAGCUGAAAUCAGUCGAAGAUACCAGCUGGCUGCAACUGUUUAUUAAAAACACAGCACUGUGCAAACACGAAAGUGGACGUAUACGGUGUGACGCCUGCCCGGUGCCGGAAGGUUAAUUGAUGGGGUCAGCGCAAGCGAAGCUCUUGAUCGAAGCCCCGGUAAACGGCGGCCGUAACUAUAACGGUCCUAAGGUAGCGAAAUUCCUUGUCGGGUAAGUUCCGACCUGCACGAAUGGCGUAAUGAUGGCCAGGCUGUCUCCACCCGAGACUCAGUGAAAUUGAACUCGCUGUGAAGAUGCAGUGUACCCGCGGCAAGACGGAAAGACCCCGUGAACCUUUACUAUAGCUUGACACUGAACAUUGAGCCUUGAUGUGUAGGAUAGGUGGGAGGCUUUGAAGUGUGGACGCCAGUCUGCAUGGAGCCGACCUUGAAAUACCACCCUUUAAUGUUUGAUGUUCUAACGUGGACCCGUAAUCCGGGUUGCGGACAGUGUCUGGUGGGUAGUUUGACUGGGGCGGUCUCCUCCUAAAGAGUAACGGAGGAGCACGAAGGUUGGCUAAUCCUGGUCGGACAUCAGGAGGUUAGUGCAAUGGCAUAAGCCAGCUUGACUGCGAGCGUGACGGCGCGAGCAGGUGCGAAAGCAGGUCAUAGUGAUCCGGUGGUUCUGAAUGGAAGGGCCAUCGCUCAACGGAUAAAAGGUACUCCGGGGAUAACAGGCUGAUACCGCCCAAGAGUUCAUAUCGACGGCGGUGUUUGGCACCUCGAUGUCGGCUCAUCACAUCCUGGGGCUGAAGUAGGUCCCAAGGGUAUGGCUGUUCGCCAUUUAAAGUGGUACGCGAGCUGGGUUUAGAACGUCGUGAGACAGUUCGGUCCCUAUCUGCCGUGGGCGCUGGAGAAUGAGGGGGGCUGCUCCUAGUACGAGAGGACCGGAGUGGACGCAUCACUGGUGUUCGGGUUGUCAUGCCAAUGGCACUGCCCGGUAGCUAAAUGCGGAAGAGAUAAGUGCUGAAAGCAUCUAAGCACGAAACUUGCCCCGAGAUGAGUUCUCCCUGACUCCUUGAGAGUCCUGAAGGAACGUUGAAGACGACGACGUUGAUAGGCCGGGUGUGUAAGCGCAGCGAUGCGUUGAGCUAACCGGUACUAAUGAACCGUGAGGCUUAACCU
rnacentral:rRNA from 1 species